rnacentral:lncRNA from 1 species
AUUGUUCGGGUAGAAUCCAAACUUUGAGAGUCUUUUGGAAGUGCUUGCAAAAUAAAAGACGGGAAAAAUAAAAGUUAUUGAAUUAUUCUCCAUGCACUACAGAUGUGACUUUCCAAAUGAUGCCAACUUGUCCGCUACGACAUUUGCCUCCCUGUAGACGUGGUGAAUUUCAGGUUCAUUCAACAAUUUAAUGAUGAAUCUACAAUCAGAAAUCAUAUGUGAGAUAUCUUCAUUUUUCGAGUUUAAUAUUUGAAUAGGUACCUGUGAAUCCGUUUCCAUAAUAAGAGGGGUCAAAUUCUUUUUGAGAACCAACCACAAUCCCACUCUUACUCAAAAUGCUAAGAAGAUACCCAAGAAAGAACAGACAACUCAACAACACUUCAAACACUCCCAUGAAAAACAACAUGUAAGAUCAGAUGCCCAAGCCAGCAAUUGGAAUGCUCCCAAUCCAAAUGUUCUGAUCCCCCAACAAAUAACCCAAAAUGUACCAUUAUACCAAUCAAAUUGGAGCCUUCCAAGUUCCAACACCACAAAAUCAAUCUCAACCUCUUCCUUAUCUCACUCCACACGACGAAAUUCAAAUGAUGAACAUGAACUACGGGCAAAACAUGAACAACUUCAUCCCGAUGGAAUUCAUGCUAUCGAUGGAGAUAAUGUCAUAAAUAGUGCAAAGCUACCAGAACCUACUGCAUGCACACUUCAUACAGAACCAACAUCUCAUAGAAAUCGAAAGGAAUAUGAUAUACAUACAGGCCAACAACAUGAUGUCAC